CAAAAAUACAACUUGCCUAAUAAUUCUGCACUCCCUGUAUGUUUAAACAUAUCUGUCCAAUAUGUAAACCAUGACUAGGACAAAAAGAAAAGAAGAGCAAAAAUAGAAAAAUUCUGAUCUAAGUAAUCAACAAUGCGUGAUGUAACCACUGAUACAACAGAGAAAUAUUAUGAUACCUGUAUAAAAUAGUAAACCAAAAAUGUACAUACCAAAUACCAAGAAACAUGAGAAGCGGGUGAAGACGUCAAACACAAAAUAGCCCCCAACGUUUCGGCGCUAUCCACCUUUAUCAAGGGAGCAUGUGGUGAAGGAAACAUAAUAACCUUUAUAUACCAACAUUUAAUAAAAAUAUGGAAAACACCUGAGUGAUAUAGGUGGCCACCCAUGAAUGAUUGGAACUCCCACAAUCAUAGUCACAUGACUAUGGUUGGUAAGGUAACCAAUAAACAAACACUGUUCAU